rnacentral:rRNA from 1 species
CCCUUAGACGUUCUGGGCCGCACGCGCGCUACACUGGCCGGUGCAACAAGCAUCCGUCCUUGGCCGACAGGCCCGGGCAAUCUUUGAACGCCGGUCGUGAUGGGGAUAGUCUUUUGCAAUUUUUGGUCUUCAACGAGGAAUUCCUAGUAAACGCAAGUCAUCAACUUGCAUUGAUUACGUCCCUGCCCUUUGUACACACCGCCCGUCGCACCUACCGAUUGAAUGGUCCGGUGAAGCCUCCGGAUUGGCGCGCACCUCGGUGCCGCCGAGAAGUUGGCUAAACCUUACCAUUUAGAGGAAGGUGAAGUCGUAACA